rnacentral:lncRNA from 1 species
UUUGUGUUGUUCAAUGAACGUAAUGCGUGCAUAAGGUCAUAAGGGGGAGAUCGAGAUGCCAGACGUUCGGAUUUUUCUGCAUUGUUAAUACAGGUGCAUGUGUAUGCCAAUGAAUGCUAGAUGUGAGAACUGGUCAGUCACGAAUAUUUCAGUUAUUAUAAAUGUAUUUACAAAGAUUAUUUGGAAACUGAUUUUAGUCUUAUACGGAAGUGAUUAUAUAGUUUUAAUUUAUAGUGCAAUUUUUCUUCUUCUUGAAAUUGUAUAUGGAUAAAACACAUACACUAUUUAUAAAAUUUGGGAAAUUUUCUUUUUGGGGGCGGGAUGUUAUGUAUCUGUAUUGUAUGGUCGUAUGUGUUUUGUAGUUUAGUCGUGAGAGUUGUGUCUCUUUGUAUGAUGAUGAUGCAUAUUUGUCAUGUGAUGUUAUCAGUGUCUUUGAAAUAAACGUGCAAUGGAAAUAGAUGUGUUUUUAUUGCUCUUAAGCA